rnacentral:rRNA from 1 species
ACCGUAGUUACGUGUAGCUUGCUCCCUGAAGUCAGCGGCGGACGGGUGAGUAACACGUGGGCAACCUGCCUGUAAGACUGGGAUAACUCCGGGAAACCGGGGCUAAUACCGGAUAAUUCUUUCCCUCACAUGAGGGAAAGCUGAAAGAUGGUUUCGGCUAUCACUUACAGAUGGGCCCGCGGCGCAUUAGCUAGUUGGUGAGGUAACGGCUCACCAAGGCGACGAUGCGUAGCCGACCUGAGAGGGUGAUCGGCCACACUGGGACUGAGACACGGCCCAGACUCCUACGGGAGGCAGCAGUAGGGAAUCUUCCGCAAUGGACGAAAGUCUGACGGAGCAACGCCGCGUGAGUGAUGAAGGUUUUCGGAUCGUAAAACUCUGUUGUUAGGGAAGAACAAGUACCGGAGUAACUGCCGGUACCUUGACGGUACCUAACCAGAAAGCCACGGCUAACUACGUGCCAGCAGCCGCGGUAAUACGUAGGUGGCAAGCGUUGUCCGGAAUUAUUGGGCGUAAAGCGCGCGCAGGCGGUUCCUUAAGUCUGAUGUGAAAGCCCCCGGCUCAACCGGGGAGGGUCAUUGGAAACUGGGGAACUUGAGUGCAGAAGAGAAGAGUGGAAUUCCACGUGUAGCGGUGAAAUGCGU